rnacentral:rRNA from 1 species
GACGAACGCUGGCGGCGUGCCUAAUACAUGCAAGUCGAGCGGACCAAAGGGAGCUUGCUCCUGGAGGUUAGCGGCGAACGGGUGAGCAACACGUGGGCAACCUGCCUGUAAGACUGGGAUAACAUCGAGAAAUCGGUGCUAAUACCGGAUAAUAAAAAGAAUUGCAUGGUUCUUUUUUGAAAGAUGGUUUCGGCUAUCACUUACAGAUGGGCCCGCGGCGCAUUAGCUAGUUGGUGGGGUAACGGCUCACCAAGGCGACGAUGCGCAGCCGACCUGAGAGGGUGAUCGGCCACACUGGGACUGAGACACGGCCCAGACUCCUACGGGAGGCAGCAGUAGGGAAUCUUCCGCAAUGGACGAAAGUCUGACGGAGCAACGCCGCGUGAGUGAUGAAGGUUUUCGGAUCGUAAAACUCUGUUGUUAGGGAAGACAAGUGCCGUUCGAAAGGGCGGCGACCUUAACGGUACCUAACGAGAAGCCACGGCUAACUACGUGCCAGCAGCCGCGGUAA